GCCUACCAUGGUGGUAACGGGUAACGGGGUGUUAGGGCACGACACCGGAGAGGGAGCCUGAGAAACGGCUACCACAUCCAAGGAUGGCAGCAGGCGCGCAAAUUACCCGAUCCCGACACGGGGAGGUAGUGACAAUAAAUAACAAUACGGGGUUCUUUCGGAUUUCGUAAUUGGAAUGAGUACAAUUUAAAUCUCUUAACGAGGAACAAUUGGAGGGCAAGUCUGGUGCCAGCAGCCGCGGUAAUUCCAGCUCCAAUAGCGUAUAUUAAAGUUGCUGCAGUUAAAAAGCUCGUAGUUGAAUUUCGGGACCAUCAUGUCGGUCGUGCCUCGGUACGUACUGGCAUCGUCGGUUUCUCCCUUCUGACGAACCAUGAUGUCAUUUAUUUGGUGUUGUGGGGAAUCAGGACUGUUACUUUGAAAAAAUUAGAGUGUUUAAAGCAGGCUCACGCUUGAAUACAUUAGCAUGGAAUAAUGAAAUAGGACGUUUGAUUCUAUUUUGUUGGUUUCUAGGAUCGACGUAAUGAUUAAUAGGGAUAGUUGGGGGCAUUAGUAUUCAAUUGUCAGAGGUGAAAUUCUUGGAUUUAUUGAAGACUAACUACUGCGAAAGCAUUUGCCAAGGAUGUUUUCAUUAAUCAAGAACGAAAGUUAGGGGAUCGAAGACGAUCAGAUACCGUCGUA
rnacentral:rRNA from 1 species